GAGAAACAUCAGGAAUGGCAAUACACAGAAACGUGUUUCAAAUCAUUUUGAUUCACACUCUGUACAUGACCUGAAAGCUGCCAUUUUGGAGAACAAAAAUUACAGGACUAUAAUCUAGAGAGGGGAGAACAAUGCUUCCUGGGAGGAGAACUGAAUGUCAACAAGGAUUUCAGAGGUCAUUGUCAGGCCAACAACUUGUGCCUAAACACAAUCUGUGAUUUGGGACCAUAUAUAAAGAAAACAUCUGGAGAGAAAGCUUUGGAUAAUCUGUCUGACUGAGCUGGAAAAGCAAUUCUGGAACUGUUGGGAGUUAAAGCAUGAGGAACUGACAGAGAUCUGUAUGAGGGAAGAACUGGAACAGAAAGGCAACAUUGAGGCAUCUGAACAACAGCAGCCAGUGAAACAGGAUUGGAAUCGCCAAGUGUAUACAUGCAAAUAUAUUUAUUGGGGAUAUGCCAAUGGCACGUCAAGGCAUUUUGGUGCACCACAUACUGCUUGCUUCUGCACUUCUGGGAAUGGGAGAGGCAAAGCUUUCAGAAUAAGGAUAGAAUAUGUGGAGUGCUUGUUGCAUACUACUUUUUAAAGCAGAAUUCAGAAAGUUACUUUUACUUAGAAAUAAUGGAUAUAAUUAAAUGAUGAAGCCAUCCAUAAUUGAAAGAUGGUAGGAUGACUCUCUGGGCUCCAAAACAUUGUCUUAUCAGUUCUUCAUUUUGAUGACUUCAGUGUCUCAUUAAAUGUAUUCACUUUACAAGUAAUUCUCCAAGCCCUGACCUUCACUACUUGUUUUACUGAUAAAACCAUCAUUCAUGUGAUGCUUACAUUCAUUUGCUUUUCACCCAUU